CCUACGGGAUGCAGCAGUGGGGAAUAUUGCACAAUGGGCGCAAGCCUGAUGCAGCCAUGCCGCGUGUAUGAAGAAGGCCUUCGGGUUGUAAAGUACUUUCAGCGGGGAGGAAGGCGAUGAGGUUAAUAACCUUGUCGAUUGACGUUACCCGCAGAAGAAGCACCGGCUAACUCCGUGCCAGCAGCCGCGGUAAUACGGAGGGUGCAAGCGUUAAUCGGAAUUACUGGGCGUAAAGCGCACGCAGGCGGUCUGUCAAGUCGGAUGUGAAAUCCCCGGGCUCAACCUGGGAACUGCAUUCGAAACUGGCAGGCUGGAGUCUUGUAGAGGGGGGUAGAAUUCCAGGUGUAGCGGUGAAAUGCGUAUAGAUCUGGAGGAAUACCGGUGGCGAAGGCGGCCCCCUGGACAAAGACUGACGCUCAGGUGCGAAAGCGUGGGGAGCAAACAGGAUUAGAUACCCCCGUAGUC
rnacentral:rRNA from 1 species